GGCGGCGUACGGCUCAGUAACAUGUGGUCAAUCUACCCUCAGGACGGAGAUAACCUCGGGAAACUGAGGCUAAUAUCCGAUAGAUAAUGGAUCCUGGAAUGGUUCAUUAUUCAAACGGCACAUUGCUCAUGCGCAGUGUGUCGCCUGAGGAUGAGACUGCACCCUAUCAGGUAGUUGGUGGGGUAAUGGCCCACCAAGCCUAUAACGGGUACGGGCCCUGAGAGGGGGAGCCCGGAGAUGGGCACUGAGACAAGGGCCCAGGCCCUACGGGGCGCAGCAGGCGCGAAACCUCUGCAAUGCGCGAAAGCGCGACAGGGCCACCCCGAGUGCUAGCCGCUGAGGUUAGCUUUUCCUUAGUGUAGUAAGCUAAGGGAAUAAGCGGGGGGCAAGCCUGGUGUCAGCCGCCGCGGUAAUACCAGCUCCGCGAGUGGUCGGGACGAUUAUUGGGCCUAAAGCGUCCGUAGCCGGCCUAUCAAGUCUCUGGUUAAACCUCAAGGCUCAACCUUGAGAUCGCUGGAGAUACUGUUAGGCUAGGGGGCGGGAGAGGUUGAGGGUACUUCGCGGGUAGGGGCGAAAUCCUAUAAUCCGCGAAGGACCACC
rnacentral:rRNA from 1 species